rnacentral:rRNA from 1 species
AUUGAACGCUGGCGGCAUGCCUUACACAUGCAAGUCGAACGGUAACAGGUCUUCGGAUGCUGACGAGUGGCGAACGGGUGAGUAAUACAUCGGAACGUGCCCGAGAGUGGGGGAUAACGAGGCGAAAGCUUUGCUAAUACCGCAUACGAUCUCAGGAUGAAAGCAGGGGACCGCAAGGCCUUGCGCUCACGGAGCGGCCGAUGGCAGAUUAGGUAGUUGGUGGGAUAAAAGCUUACCAAGCCGACGAUCUGUAGCUGGUCUGAGAGGACGACCGGCCACACUGGGACUGAGCAACGGCGCAGACUCCUACGGGAGGCAGCAGUGGGGAAUUUUGGACAAUGGGCGCAAGCCGAAUCCAGCCAUGCCGCGUGCAGGAUGAAGGCCUUCGGGUUGUAAACUGCUUUUGUACGGAACGAAAAGACUCUGGUUAAUACCUGGGGUCCAUGACGGUACCGUAAGAAUAAGCACCGGCUAACUACGUGCCAGCCGCCGCCGUAAAAC